CAAAGAAUAGUUUAAAUUAGAAUCCUAGCUUUGGAGCCUAGG
rnacentral:tRNA from 1 species